UCUAAACAGCUCAAGUAUCAUGAAGUCUACAAGAUGUCUUCCAUGAACUUCCCAACUGUUCACUCUUUUCCUCCCAAACUUUCUUGUGUUUGUUUAUAUUUAUUAUCUUUAUUUUUAUUCUACAUAUAGUUGUAGUUACUUAUCUCCACCAUUAGAAUGAGGAAGAAACCAUGAGCAACUAGGAGAUCAGGAAAUGCUUCCCUUAUGAAGUAUCCUGUAAGCUGAGCCCUUAAAGGAAGAGGUGGAAGUAAGAACGGAGUGUAUUCUUGGCAUGGAAGACAACUUCUGCAAAGGAACAGAGGCAAGAAAUAGAAUGCCAAGAUCAUGAAACAGCAAGGAGGCUGCUUUGGCUGGAGCAUAAAAUUCAGGAAGGGGCAAUAUGGCAACUAAAUGGUACUGCAGAAGGAAACUAAAACUCAUUGCCAAUGAUGACAAAGUCUUGGGCAAGAAACUGAAGACCACAGGGGCAUAAGUUAUAUUUUCCUCAUUGGCACCCAUUGAAAACAAGGGAUACAAAAGAGAAAAAAAAUGGAUCUGAGAAAAACAGCUGGCUAUGAAAAGUGAUAUUUGAGAAUGAGAUUUGUUCUUAUGGAUUAGAGUUUAAAAUAUAAGGAUGACAGACUCCUGAUCAGAGAUGGAAUACGCCAAAAAAACUGGUUAAGGCCAAGAAAGAAUAAAUCUAUCAUUCCCUCUUCUCAUGUGGCAGUCCUUAAAUAGAAGACAAUUGAAGAAAAAUCAGAGUACCUCUCUAAGUUCUCCGUCUCAGUUUCCCGUCUUCUUUGAGAGAGGUAAUCUGGGUGAGCCAAAGUAUUCCUAUCCAUGUUGAGCUUCUCUUCCUUGCCCUCAGUUCGGGGGCAAGAUAGCAACAGGGCAUAAGGUAUGUAUUGAGGAUGGAGCAGCUUUUACUUUGCUCUGUUCAAGCACACUGUGAAAGCCUUGCAAAAAUAUGCACAGGGCUGUGUCUGAUUUGUCCAUCUGUAAAUUCUCCUAAAUUGUUUCUAACAUGGUAUUCGUGAACUUAAAAUUAAAAAAAUAAAACUAUUUCAAUAUAAAUUUUACUUUGUAAUCUUACACAUGUCAUUCUAUGCAUUUGCAAACUUUAUUUUGAGGAGGGUUUCAUGGGUACACCAGCCUGCCAAGAGGCUCUUUGUGCCCUCCCUCUUAAGCACUUAAAUUCUCUUAGGUUGAAAAGAUUAAGAACCACCGCCCUAAAUAAAUAGGACUCCAGAGCUUGGCAAAGAAGGCUGUCAUUGCUACUGUCUCACCGGCUUACCAGGAUGACAAGUUACAGUAAUAAUGUUAAACCGGUGGUUGGGCCACCUGAGCCAGAUGAGUAGAAGAUACCAUGCACUUUGCUGGAGCCCGCUUGAGAGGCCAUUGUUAAAUUGGACUAUUUCAAUAUGUGUAUUGACAACUCCGAAAUCAGCAAAUGCUACAAAUCAGCUCUCGGUUGUUGUUGUAGGAUUUUGUUUUGUUUUGUUUUGUUUUUUGGUCUGGCAGAUAAAGAAAAUGUUAAAAAUGCAAGCUUAAUAACUUAAAAAGCAGGUCCGUCGCACAUCGCCCCACCCACCCGAACGUUAAACAUUUACCAGCAUUUCCUAGCCUCCAAGUGUAUACCCUCUUCUCGAUCCACAGAUCCAGUAGGUCAACAAGCAUUUAUUUAGCGCUUGACUGUCAGUUCAAUAAGCAUUUAUCAAGUGCUUAGUACAUGCCAG